UCUGCUGUGCCUUUUUGAGGACGGAGUUGAUGUUGGUCGCCCACUUCAGGUCCUGAGAGAUUGUAAUUCCCGGGAACUUGAAGGGCUCGACGGUUGACACAUGGCAGCUGGCGAAGGAUGCCUCCUGAAGUCCACGAUCAUCUCUACAGUCUUGAGCGUGUUCAGCUCCAGGUUGUGUUGGCCACACCACAGCUCCAGCCGCUCCACUUCCUGUCGAUAUGCAGACUCGUCACCGUCCUUGAUGACAGUGGUGUCAUCUGCAAACUUCAGGAGUUUGACAGUCGGGUUCGCUGAGGUGCAGUCGUUCGUGUAGAGAGAGAAGAGCAGCGGAGAGAGGACACAACCUUGGGGCGCCCCAGUGCUGAUGCUGCGUGUGGAUGAGGUGGCCUCCCCCAGCCUGACCUGCUGUGUCCUGCCCGUCAGAAAGCUGUAAAUCCACUGGCAGAUGGCAGUGUUCCCUCCGUGCUCCUCGUCAAGUGGAUUCCUGCCACCACGCCGUCAAAGCCUGCCGCCUGUUCUCAUCAUCGCCUGUCGCACGUCCCUGCCUCCACCACCUGCCAGCGCACCUCAAGGAGUAAACCCCUUGGAGUAAACUGUUCAUCACAACCUUGUGUACCCAUGUCUUGAUGGUGCAGUGCCUGCACCUGUUGCAGCGCGUCCUGCCAGCUCUUCAAAGACUCAAGUGGCGCAUCAGGUCCAUGCGCAACAAGUGCAUCGGGGGCAGGAGGAGGGCUCGCUUCGGUCUGUCGCGCAGCUCAUGGAAGAAGAAGAAGAAGAAGAAGAAGAAGGGAAAAGAAAUACAAAGCCACUUCAGUCACUUCCAUGUCUCCUCUGGUGAGCUUUUGAGUCAACGGUGUGCAGCUGCUGACGAGCCAAGGCGCGAGAUGCUCAGGAGGAAGUCGAAGGAGCCGCGCAGAUCCCAGGGAAAGACUGCCCACCAUCCCUUUAAGUGACUGGAGGGAGCUCUGAUUGGCUGUUUGGCCUUGCCCUCUCUCUCCUUCCCUCUGCCUCAAAUAAGUCGAUUUCCAUUUCACUCCCCUGCUUUGGAAACCCACGGAAAUUUGAGCUGCGCGCCUCUUGCGCGCCACACGUCCCGCUACAAGAUUCGUUGACACGCGGAACAAAUACAAUGGAACCUUGGCUGGCGAUUACAAACUGCAUUUGAAACGAUCAAGUUGGUCAGGUUGCCUAAAAGUGAAUCACUUGGACACUUAUAGGCCAUACACAUGAAGAAAACAAAAAACAAACAAAAAACAAAAAACAAAAAAAUGGCGGCGGUAACUGUGCGUGCGUUCACGUGCAACGUAACAACGUAUUUUCUGCGCCGCUGGCGAACUACACUCGUUCAGUGCGCACCGUUCGUAAAAUCGAAACCUCCUGAGUCGAGAACCGCGUAAGGAUUUAACCAAUACAAAAUGUCAAACACGAGACAGCGUUCAUAAGAGACGAUAACAAGUGGGAAGGUAAUUAAGCAACAAUAAUAUGAUGUUGGUAAGUAUGGGAAUGUAUUAUGCAAGGUUUCAUUUUUUGUUGUUCUUGCGGAAACCACAAUAAUAAAGUUGGUUUUGAGUGACACUGUCAGCAGCUUAAUAAUAGUGUAUAACAAAAAAAUAUAUAUAUUGCAGUUGUGUAGAACAUCAUCAUUGCAAAGCCGCAAUAAUAACACGUUGCCAAAUAAAUACCUUUAUUCUUCAAUGUCAAUCAAGAUUUUUUUAUUUUUUUUGUAAUCGCAGCACUUAUCGUAUAGGCUUGUCGAUAAUUAUAUUACAUAAUCCCCUAUAUGAAUACCAGGGCAUUCAGCUAUUCUCUUUUUACCCCUCUAAUAUAUAUUUAUUGUCAUAUAUUGUAUAUCUAUGUUAUAGUUACGUUCGUUCCUGUAUAUUAUGCAAUAUUGAAUACAGGCUUUCUUCAAUUUAGAUUCUAUUCUAGCAUGGCGCGUCUUUCAGAAUUUCAAGGAAACACUUCCAUCUAGUGGAUAUAUGCCGCAUUACAUGUACAAAACAUAACCCCUCAUAGCAGUAUUGACACAAAUCACUUUUUUUUUUUUUUUUUUUUUUUUUUUUAAAGGUUGGGCGCCACAG